UACGUAGGGAGCAAGCGUUGUCCGGAAUCAUUGGGCGUAAAGCGCGUGUAGGCGGCCCGGAAAGUCUGGUGUGAAAUCUUGAGGCUCAACCUCAAGCUGUCACUGGAUACUGUCGGGCUUGAGUCCGGAAGAGGAGUGUGGAAUUCCUGGUGUAGCGGUGGAAUGCGCAGAUAUCAGGAGGAACACCUAUGGCGAAGGCAGCACUCUGGUACGUGACUGACGCUGAGACGCGAAAGCGUGGGGAGCAAACAGG
rnacentral:rRNA from 1 species